rnacentral:rRNA from 1 species
AGUGAAUGCUGGCGGUAGGCCUAACACAUGCAAGUCGAACGGCAGCACAGUAAGAGCUUGCUCUUACGGGUGGCGAGUAGCGGACGGGUGAGGAAUACAUCGGAAUCUACUUUUUCGUGGGGGAUAACGUAGGGAAACUUACGCUAAUACCGCAUACGACCUACGGGUGAAAGCAGGGGAUCUUCGGACCUUGCGCGAUUGAAUGAGCCGAUGUCGGAUUAGCUAGUUGGCGGGGUAAAGGCCCACCAAGGCGACGAUCCGUAGCUGGUCUGAGAGGAUGAUCAGCCACACUGGAACUGAGACACGGUCCAGACUCCUACGGGAGGCAGCAGUGGGGAAUAUUGGACAAUGGGCGCAAGCCUGAUCCAGCCAUACCGCGUGGGUGAAGAAGGCCUUCGGGUUGUAAAGCCCUUUUGUUGGGAAAGAAAAGCAGCAGGUUAAUACCCCGCUGUUCUGACGGUACCCAAAGAAUAAGCACCGGCUAACUUCGUG